AUUUUUAACUCUUAAUUUAUGCCACAAAUAUUCUGCAAUUCUUUCUGCAGAUUAGUAAUAGAUGUGGCUCAUCUCCCUUCUUGAGUACAUAGAAAAGGAAACUCUGAAUAGCUCUAAUUCUUCUCUAGGAAUUUUGGAAUUUAGUCAAAGGGCAGACCGCUGUGGAUGAAGGUUAUGGAACAGAUGAGCCAAGCCCUGCCAUUGUCCUUGUCCUUCUGCUGGACAUUCACACCAGGUUGGUUUUUGUUGCCUCAACAUAGUGGUCUUCAUCUCUCUUCAGUCAGUGUAUCUAUGCAGACACACAAUAUCUAUCCACCUGCCUUUGACCACACUGUUAUAUGUUUUGGAUUCUCAGUGGUUAACCCUACACCAGAAGAUCAUUAACUGCAGGUGUGAGAACCGGAGGCUGAAAACACAGGCUCAAAAGAACACACUGCACCUCAGUGCUGCUGGAGUAAUGCCUGCAGAGGCAAAGUUUAGCACAUGGGCUGUGGGAAAAGUUGCCAUGUGCAAGAACUUGGAGGAAACCUACCUCUUCCCUUGAUCCCACCGGCCUGCAGGGUCUGGCCCUGGCGUCUAGGGCUGUGGUCACAAUUUUGAAGUCUACCAGCACAAGAAAGCAACUUUUACCUCUGGAUCAAGGCUAGGCAACCAGAUGAAAGCAGUUCAGUUACUAAACCUGUUUUCACUUUCAAAACUGAUACAGCUGUGAAUCACCUCAAAAUGAAAUAAAGCUCUUCUGUUCUCACA
rnacentral:lncRNA from 1 species